rnacentral:pre_miRNA from 15 species
GUGUGUACAUGCUUGGUCUUACUUUCAGUGUCAUCAAAAAGGGCUGAGAAUGAUAUUUCUGUAAUUGAAUUGUAUCACAGCCAGCUUUGAUGGGCACUGCGAAGGGCGAAGUAACAGUAACAUUAA